rnacentral:rRNA from 1 species
GAGUGAACGCUGGCGGUAGGCCUAACACAUGCAAGUCGAACGGCAGCACAGUAAGAGCUUGCUCUUACGGGUGGCGAGUGGCGGACGGGUGAGGAAUACAUCGGAAUCUACUUUUUCGUGGGGGAUAACGUAGGGAAACUUACGCUAAUACCGCGUACGACCUACGGGUGAAAGCAGGGGAUCUUCGGACCUUGCGCGAUUGAAUGAGCCGAUGUCGGAUUAGCUAGUUGGCGGGGUAAAGGCCCACCAAGGCGACGAUCCGUAGCUGGUCUGAGAGGAUGAUCAGCCACACUGGAACUGAGACACGGUCCAGACUCCUACGGGAGGCAGCAGUGGGGAAUAUUGGACAAUGGGCGCAAGCCUGAUCCAGCCAUACCGCGUGGGUGAAGAAGGCCUUCGGGUUGUAAAGCCCUUUUGUUGGGAAAGAAAAGCAGCAGGUUAAUACCCCGCUGUUCUGACGGUACCCAAAGAAUAAGCACCGGCUAACUUCGUG